rnacentral:rRNA from 1 species
GGGCCCGCACAAGCGGUGGAGUAUGUGGUUUAAUUCGAUGCAACGCGAAGAACCUUACCAGGGUUUGACAUCCUGCGAAUCUCUUGGAAACAGGAGAGUGCCUUCGGGAACGCAGUGACAGGUGGUGCAUGGCUGUCGUCAGCUCGUGUCGUGAGAUGUUGGGUUAAGUCCCGCAACGAGCGCAACCCUCGCCCUUAGUUGCCAUCAUUCAGUUGGGCACUCUAGGGGGACUGCCGGUGAUAAGCCGAGAGGAAGGUGGGGAUGACGUCAAGUCCUCAUGGCCCUUACGGGCUGGGCUACACACGUGCUACAAUGGCGGUGACAGUGGGCAGCGACUCCGCGAGGAGGAGCCAAUCCCCAAAAACCGUCUCAGUUCGGAUUGCACUCUGCAACUCGGGUGCAUGAAGGUGGAAUCGCUAGUAAUCGUGGAUC